GUUGUCUAUUAUUGUUGAAUAUACGUGAUACCGUUUUACUUAGUUUAUUGCGAAAUGUGAGCUUUCUAUUGUGGUCCUAAAUUAUCUUCAACCUGUCUUUCACCAAUCAGCCGAAUCGUAAAUGAAAUUCAAGAUUCCAGUUCGUCACUUCAUCAGCAACCCUAGUGUUCUUUCUGCCUGAAAGUAAACUCGGAUCCCUCGAUGUGCUUCGAUGAAGAACAGAUGAAGAUGUGACGGUAUGAACUGAAGGUGAAACGUAACACGAAGUUUUGUGAUACGUAAUUCUUAACAGAAACUAAACUUUUCCAGCUGUCUCGUUCGUCCACAGCAAAGUCUCAUCACAGCCAUUCGCCAGCGCCUGAGGAAAAUGAAACCUGAAACGAAAUUAAACCUACCAGUCCACUGAUCACAUCCCAUCUCCAAAAGGAAGAACUGCAUUGCCACAAGGUAAACGUUCUACGAUAACCUUGCAAACAACGUAAAAUCCCAAACAAAAUUAUCGACGUCAUAAAAAUAUUUUAGUAGUACGAAUCAAUAACCGACACAAGUUAAGUUGAGGAAUUAUACAUUGAAGAACACGUAAUAAGGACAAGUUAAUCCGUAAGUACAGCAGAGAAUUUUAAAAUUAAUUUAGUAUAUUAAUUUUUUUUUAAAUAAGUUAGGUUAGGCUAUUGAAGCAAACAUUUGCAGCUACAAAAAAAUUACUGUAAAAUCUCUUUAAUUAUCUUGUCAUUAGAAAUUGAGGCAGCUGAUUGGUUGUGGCCGAGGCAGAUCCAGUUACGGAAUUAUUAUUAUGCAGACUGCUGCAUUCUCUACAUGGCCACCCCCUAAUGCCGACUGGCCAGCUGGUUCCAAGUGAAGAAUAAUAUUGGCUAUGUCUGACUUUAUUUCGUUGUGUUGGCAAACGGCUCAAAUAUUCCGAUCAAAGAUUGGGAAACCGCCAAACCGGGAACAAAUUUACACAGGAUUUACAUAAUUGCUUCGGUGUUGGAAGUGAUUAGAGGAGCGUGGCCACGAUGUAUCGCCGACAAGGAAAUCACGACCAAGAUCACAUAUCUGCUAAACGAUUUGAUUUGGCCCAGUGGUGGGUGAAUUUUUAAUUCAGGAGGACGAGUUGCAGUCUAGUGACAUUGAAUCGAACAAUACGCAUUAUAAGAGAUUGACGUCGACGUAAGAUGCAGAAAAUUCAACUCACCUGAGCCAACACCACGACAUUCAUAAAAAUGGAGGCAGCAGAACUCCGAUCUCUCGAUGUGCUUCGAUGAAGAACAGCUGAAGAUGUGACGGUAUGAACUGAAGUCUCAACGGUCUCAUCAUGGCCAUUCGCCAGCGCCUGAGGAAAUUGAAGCCUACCUAUCCACUGGAUGAUCACAUUCCAUCUAAAAAAGGACUGCAUUGCCACAAGAAAUUGGUGUAGCUGAUUGGUGACGUCCGAGGCAGAUCCGGUAACGGAAUUAUUAUUAUGCAGACGGCAUUCAACUUACAUGGCCACCUUCUAAUGCCGACUGGCCAGCUGGUUCCAAGUGAAGAAUAAUAUUGUCUAUGUCUGACUUUAUUUCGUUGUGUUGGCAAACGGCUCAAAUAUUCGGAUCAAAGAUAGGGAAACCGCCAAACCGGGAACAAAUUUACACAGAAUUUACACAAUUGCUUCGGUGUUGGAAGUGAUUAGAGCAGCGUCGCCACAAGUAUUGUAUUGCCGACAAGUAAAACACGACCAAGAUCACAUCUGCUGAACGAUUUGGCCCAGUAGUGGCUGAAUUUUUAUUCAGACGGGCGAGUUCCAGUCUAGUGACAUUAAUUGGAUCGAACAAUACGCAUUAUAAGUGCUAUCAGAGUUAUGCUACGUCAAAUUACUUUGACACAGUCGAGAGACACAGUCAAGAGAGUACACAGUCGAGAAGACCAACUUAAAAAUCCUGAAGGGAGAUUGCUGAAAUUGAAGAUUAAAUUAUAUUGAUCACAUCCUACUUCAAUCACAGCCCCAGUCGUUUAAGACAUCUUAGGAUUCCGAUAAAUUCCCAAAGAUUCAUCUGGAUAGGACCAUAGCAGGUCGCACAUGGGGCCCUAUUUAACGCCAAACGAUGUCACAAUGGACACGGUACAUCGUCCAGAACUCCAAAAGAAUUGGAUGAACAAAAAGCUGAUUUCAAACUGCAUGGACGCGCACAAGUUAGGCCACAGCUUUACAGACGGUGAGGAUGUCAAUUCAGUAUAUAGUGUUGCAUAAAAGUUUCAUCUUUAAAAAAUUGUUUGAAUGGCUGUAGUAAGCAUUUGGCCAAAAAAGUCCGUCUACGCAAAGUUUUCCAUCAGUCCUUGAUUCCGCCAUUGAUUUCUUGAUUGUCGAUUUUGACAGCAGUGACAUGUCGAAUAGCAGCCCAAAGAUGAGUCAGAAGAUACUGCCGAUGCACCGCAGCAACCAACGGCGAUUGAACUCGAAGGACGAAAGAAGGCGGACAAG